CAAGUACUCCCGCCAUACAGAAUUACUUGUCAUCAAAAUGGAUGUGUCUAGAACUAAAAUACAUCUAGAUACAUCCAUUUCAAUGACAAGUAUUUUUGGACAGAGGGAGUACAAG
rfam:Triticum aestivum genome assembly, contig: Triticum_aestivum_CS42_TGACv1_scaffold_328456_4BS